UGUACCUUCGAUCCCAUCUGGAUUUGAGCCCGAAGUCCAGCUUGAUCAAAUCCCACGAUGCAUUACACAUGACGCUACCCCUUGUAUUUCACCACUUCCCAAUUGCGCGCUAUCUACCAUGCAUAUGCUCCAAGGUUUGCCCUAGUAGAGUCCCUUCUCCCAGUCUCUCUUGACCGCCCCCAAGUCCCAGCCGACCCCGAACCUUCCCAAUGGCUCCAACACUAUACCAACAUUCCCCAUUGUCCAGUCCAUGAAAUAGACCUGCCACUUCAAUCUCUUUGACGAGCUUUUCGGUAGUGUU
rnacentral:lncRNA from 1 species